AAUUAACUGUGACUUAUUUUCCUAUAGGAUCAUCGGACUGAAAAUGAGAAAGAAUAAAGAGGCAGAGUUUCAGGUUUCCUUGCCUCUAAAACCAGGAUACCACCUUCUUAGGGUAACAGUGAAAGAAGACAACGAAAAAAGCACUGAGCUCAGGGCCUGGAACCUAGUAAGUAUACAAAAAUGUCAGCCGUUAAUAGCAAACAGUGGAUCUCAUACAGGGUGAUCUUUCAAGUCAGUCGUUGUGCGCCAUAUACAUGUAUUAAGAGGAAAAGAAAAGAAAAAGA